UACGUAGGUGACCAGCGUUGUCCGGAUUUACUGGGCGUAAAGAGCGCGCAGGCGGUCGUUCAAGUCGAGUGUGAAAGCCCCCGGCUCAACUGGGGAGGGUCAUUCGAUACUGAUCGACUGGAAGGCAGGAGAGGGAAGCGGAAUUCCCGGUGUAGUGGUGAAAUGCGUAGAUAUCGGGAGGAACACCAGUGGCGAAGGCGGCUUCCUGGCCUGUUCUUGACGCUGAGGCGCGAAAGCUAGGGGAGCAAACGGGGAUUAAGAAACCCCAGUAA
rnacentral:rRNA from 1 species